rnacentral:rRNA from 1 species
GUGGGGAAUAUUGGACAAUGGGCGGAAGCCUGAUCCAGCCAUGCCGCGUGUGUGAAGAAGGCCUUUUGGUUGUAAAGCACUUUAAGCGAGGAGGAGGCUCUUAAGGUUAAUACCCUUGAUGAGUGGACGUUACUCGCAGAAUAAGCACCGGCUAACUCUGUGCCAGCAGCCGCGGUAAUACAGAGGGUGCGAGCGUUAAUCGGAUUUACUGGGCGUAAAGCGUGCGUAGGCGGCUGAUUAAGUCGGAUGUGAAAUCCCUGAGCUUAACUUAGGAAUUGCAUUCGAUACUGGUCAGCUAGAGUAUGGGAGAGGAUGGUAGAAUUCCAGGUGUAGCGGUGAAAUGCGUAGAGAUCUGGAGGAAUACCGAUGGCGAAGGCAGCCAUCUGGCCUAAUACUGACGCUGAGGUACGAAAGCAUGGGGAGCAAACAGGAUUAGAUACCCCGGUAGUCC